CAUAGGUUAAUGAGGCGAACCGGGGGAACUGAAACAUCUAAGUACCCCGAGGAAAAGAAAUCAACCGAGAUUCCCCCAGUAGCGGCGAGCGAACGGGGAGCAGCCCAGAGCCUGAAUCAGUGUGUGUGUUAGUGGAAGCGUCUGGAAAGGCGCGCGAUACAGGGUGACAGCCCCGUACACAAAAAUGCACAUACUGUGAGCUCGAUGAGUAGGGCGGGACACGUGGUAUCCUGUCUGAAUAUGGGGGGACCAUCCUCCAAGGCUAAAUACUCCUGACUGACCGAUAGUGAACCAGUACCGUGAGGGAAAGGCGAAAAGAACCCCGGCGAGGGGAGUGAAAAAGAACCUGAAACCGUGUACGUACAAGCAGUGGGAGCACGCUUAGGCGUGUGACUGCGUACCUUUUGUAUAAUGGGUCAGCGACUUAUAUUCUGUAGCAAGGUUAACCGAAUAGGGGAGCCGAAGGGAAACCGAGUCUUAACUGGGCGUUAAGUUGCAGGGUAUAGACCCGAAACCCGGUGAUCUAGCCAUGGGCAGGUUGAAGGUUGGGUAACACUAACUGGAGGACCGAACCGACUAAUGUUGAAAAAUUAGCGGAUGACUUGUGGCUGGGGGUGAAAGGCCAAUCAAACCGGGAGAUAGCUGGUUCUCCCCGAAAGCUAUUUAGGUAGCGCCUCGUGAAUUCAUCUCCGGGGGUAGAGCACUGUUUCGGCAAGGGGGUCAUCCCGACUUACCAACCCGAUGCAAACUGCGAAUACCGGAGAAUGUUAUCACGGGAGACACACGGCGGGUGCUAACGUCCGUCGUGAAGAGGGAAACAACCCAGACCGCCAGCUAAGGUCCCAAAGUCAUGGUUAAGUGGGAAACGAUGUGGGAAGGCCCAGACAGCCAGGAUGUUGGCUUAGAAGCAGCCAUCAUUUAAAGAAAGCGUAAUAGCUCACUGGUCGAGUCGGCCUGCGCGGAAGAUGUAACGGGGCUAAACCAUGCACCGAAGCUGCGGCAGCGACGCUGAUGCGUUGUUGGGUAGGGGAGCGUUCUGUAAGCCUGUGAAGGUGUGCUGUGAGGCAUGCUGGAGGUAUC
rnacentral:rRNA from 1 species